CGGGUGAGUAACGCGUAGGAACCUAUCGCACAGUGGGGGAUAACACGGGGAAACCGGUGCUAAUACCGCAUGUGGUCAGCGAUGAAGAAAGCAGCAAUGCGCUGUGUGAGGGGCCUGCGUCCGAUUAGCUGGUUGGUGGGGUAACGGCCUACCAAGGCGACGAUCGGUAGCUGGUCUGAGAGGAUGGUCAGCCACACUGGGACUGAGACACGGCCCAG
rnacentral:rRNA from 1 species